rnacentral:rRNA from 1 species
GUAGCGGCGAGUGAGCGGCAGAGCUCAGAUUUGAAAUCGUGUUUCGGCACGAGUUGUAGAGUGUAGGCUGGAGUCUCUGUGGAGCGCGGUGUCCAAGUCCCUUGGAACAGGGUGCCUGAGAGGGUGAGAGCCCCGUGGGGUGCUGCGCGAAGCUUUGAGGCCCUGCUGACGAGUCGAGUUGUUUGGGAAUGCAGCUCUAAGCGGGUGGUAAAUUCCAUCUAAGGCUAAAUAUUGGCGAGAGACCGAUAGCGAACAAGUACUGUGAAGGAAAGAUGAAAAGCACUUUGAAAAGAGAGUGAAACAGCACGUGAAAUUGUUGAAAGGGAAGGGUAUUGGGCCCGACAUGGGGAGUGCGCACCGCUGUCUCUUGUAGGCGGCGCUCUGGGCGCUCUCUGGGCCAGCAUCGGUUCUUGCUGCGAGAGAAGUGGUGCCGGAAAGUGGCUCUUCGGAGUGUUAUAGCCGGUGCCGGAUGUCGCGUGCGGGGACCGAGGGCUGCGACAUCUGUCUCGGAUGCUGGCACAACGGCGCAAUACCGCCCGUCUUGAAACACGGACCAAA